UACGUAGGGUCCGAGCGUUGUCCGGAAUUACUAGGCGUAAAGAGCUCGUAGGUGGUUUGUCGCGUUGUUCGUGAAAACUCACAGCUCAACUGUGGGCGUGCGGGCGAUACGGGCAGACUUGAGUACUGCAGGGGAGACUGGAAUUCCUGGUGUAGCGGUGGAAUGCGCAGAUAUCAGGAGGAACACCGGUGGCGAAGGCGGGGUCUCUGGGCAGUAACUGACGCUGGAGGAGCGAAAAGCGUGGGGAGCGAACAGG
rnacentral:rRNA from 1 species